rnacentral:rRNA from 1 species
AAUGGCCUAACGGCUGAACCAGCAAUUUGCCAGAAUGUAAGGAGUAAAUAUAGAAGGUCGUUUUUUUAUAUUUCUAUCUCUAAGUGGUACUCCAAUUAAGGUUCUAGGGAAAAUAAAUAAUGACCUUUUUUUACCUAAAUGUCUUGACCAACUCACGUGCCAGCAGUCGCGGUAAGACGUGGAAGACUAGUGUUAAUCGUCUUUAUUUGGUUUAAAGGGUACCUAGACGGUCUAUUCACUCACCUUUAGAGGAACUUUUUCUGGUAGAGAAAGGGACGUACGAGGGAGCAUGGAUUGAACUAGAGUUUUAUGUGUAAGGAUAUAUUGUAUUGAUGGAGUAGAGAUAAAAUUCAUUGAUACUGUCAAGAACAGAUAACGGCGAAGGCAAUCCUUUAUGUAAAAACUGACGUUGAGGGACGAAGGCGUGGGUAGCGAUCAGGAUUAGAUACCCUGGUAGUCCUCGCAGAUAAUUAUGAGUGCCAUAGGUAUGACAUUGUUACAAUCUAUAAAUGAAAGUGCAAGCACUCCACCUCAAGAGUAAUGUGGCAACGCUGGAACUGAAAUCAUUAGACCGUCUCUGAAAUAAGUAGUGAAGCAUGUUGUUUAAUUUGAUAAUCCGCAAAAAACCUUACCAAUUCCGGGCUUGAAUAAUUUAGUGUUAACACUUUAUACAGGUGCUGCAUGGCUGUCUUCAGUUGAUGUUGUGAGACACAGGUUAACUCCGUAAAAUUAACGAAAACCCUUGCUUUAUUUGUUUUUAUAAAGUAGAACUCCAAUAUAAUGGAUAAGAUAAUAGGGAGCAAGACAAGUAAUCACGGCCCUAAAUGCCCU